rnacentral:rRNA from 1 species
ACAGCACACCAACAAAAAUACCACACAUACAAACAACCUCUUACAGCAAUAUCAGCGCCAAUCUAUAACACUAUAGAAGAGUUGAUGCUAGAACUAGUAACAAGAACCUAUCUCUACGCACAACUGUAAAUCAGUUACAGAAGCCCUACUGAAAAUUAACAGCUCAAUGUACGCCUU